UACGGGGGGAGCAAGCGUUGUUCGGAUUUACUGGGCGUAAAGGGCGCGUAGGCGGUCAGCACAAGUCAGUUGUGGAAAUCUCCCGGGCUUAACUCGGAAAGGUCAACUGGAUACUGUGCGACUAGAGUGCGGAAGGGGCAACUGGAAUUCUCGGUGUAGCGGAUGAAUGCGUAGAUAUCGAGAGGAACACCUGCGGCGAAGGCGGGUUGCUGGGCCGACACUGACGCUGAUGCGCGAAAGCCAGGGGAGGCGAACGGG
rnacentral:rRNA from 1 species